rnacentral:rRNA from 1 species
GAUGAACGCUGGCGGCGUGCUUAACACAUGCAAGUCGAACGGAAAGGCCGAAGCUUGCUUCGGUACUCGAGUGGCGAACGGGUGAGUAACACGUGGGUGAUCUGCCCUGUACUUCGGGAUAAGCUUGGGAAACUGGGUCUAAUACCGGAUAUGACGAUCUCUUGGAUGGGGUUGUGGAAAGCUUUUGCGGUAUGGGAUGAGCUCGCGGCCUAUCAGCUUGUUGGUGGGGUAAUGGCCUACCAAGGCGUCGACGGGUAGCCGGCCUGAGAGGGUGUACGGCAAUUGGGGGAGGGAGAGCGGGCCGAGACCCAGAGGGGGGGAGGAAGGGGGAAAUAGGGAAAAAGGGGCACAAGCUGGAGGCGGCGAGCGCGGGGGGGGGAUGCGGGCUGUGGGUGUGGAAACUCUUGACGAACUGGACAAAGCUUUUGGGUGAGGGUGGGUUAGAAAGAGGCCCCGGAAAACUACGUC